rnacentral:rRNA from 1 species
GACGAACGCUGGCGGCGUGCUUAACACAUGCAAGUCGAACGGCAAGGCCCUGCUUUUGUGGGGUGCUCGAGUGGCGAACGGGUGAGUAACACGUGAGUAACCUGCCUUUGACUUUGGGAUAACUUCAGGAAACUUGGGCUAAUACCGGAUAGGAGCUCCUGCUGCAUGGUGGGGGUUGGAAAGUUUCGGCGGUUGGGGAUGGACUCGCGGCUUAUGAGCUUGUUGGUGGGGUAGUGGCAUACCAAGGCUUUGACGGGUAGACGGCCUGAGAGGGUGACCGGCCAGAUUGGGACUGGGAUACGGCCCAGAGUACUACGGGGGGCAGCAGUGGGGGAUAUUGCACAAUGGGCGGAAGCCUGAUGCAGCAACGCCGCGUGCGGGAUGACGACCUUCGGGUUGUAAACCGCUUUCGCCUGUGACGAAGAGUGAGUGACGGUAAUGGGUAAAGAAGCACCGGCUAACUACGUG